AGAUUGAACGCUGGCGGCAUGCCUUACACAUGCAAGUCGAACGGCAGCACGGGAGCAAUCCUGGUGGCGAGUGGCGAACGGGUGAGUAAUAUAUCGGAACGUGCCCAGUCGUGGGGGAUAACGUAGAGAAAUUUACGCUAAUACCGCAUACGAUCCAAGGAUGAAAGCGGGGACCGUAAGGCCUCGCGCGACUGGAGCGGCUGAUAUCAGAUUAGCUUGUUGGUGAGGUAAAAGCUCACCAAGGCGACGAUCUGUAGCUGGUUUGAGAGAACGACCAGCCACACUGGGACUGAGACACGGCCCAGACU
rnacentral:rRNA from 1 species